GGAAUUUUGGACAAUGGGCGAAAGCCUGAUCCAGCAAUGCCGCGUGAGUGAAGAAGGCCUUCGGGUUGUAAAGCUCUUUUGUCAGGGAAGAAACGGUGAGAGCUAAUAUCUCUUGCUAAUGACGGUACCUGAAGAAUAAGCACCGGCUAACUACGUGCCAGCAGCCGCGGUAAUACGUAGGGUGCAAGCGUUAAUCGGAAUUACUGGGCGUAAAGCGUGCGCAGGCGGUUUUGUAAGUCUGAUGUGAAAUCCCCGGGCUCAACCUGGGAAUUGCAUUGGAGACUGCAAGGCUAGAAUCUGGCAGAGGGGGGUAGAAUUCCACGUGUAGCAGUGAAAUGCGUAGAUAUGUGGAGGAACACCGAUGGCGAAGGCAGCCCCCUGGGUCAAAACUGACGCUCAUGCACGAAAGCGUGGGGAGCAAACAGGAUUAGAUACCCCUG
rnacentral:rRNA from 1 species